rnacentral:rRNA from 1 species
CUACGGGCCGCAGCAGUGAGGAAUAUUGCACAAUGGGGGGAACCCUGAUGCAGCAACGCCGCGUGGAGGAUGACGCAUUUCGGUGUGUAAACUCCUUUUAUAUGUCAAGAAAAUGACGGUAGCAUAUGAAUAAGCACCGGCUAACUCCGUGCCAGCAGCCGCGGUAAUACGGAGGGUGCAAGCGUUACUCGGAAUCACUGGGCGUAAGGGACGCGUAGGCGGGUUGGAAAGUCAGGUGUGAAAUCCUACAGCUUAACUGUAGAACUGCACUUGAAACUUCUAAUCUAGAGUAUGGGAGGGGGAGAUGGAAUUAGUGGUGUAGGGGUAAAAUCCGUAGAUAUCACUAGGAAUACCUAAAGCGAAGGCGAUCUCCUGGAACAUUACCGACGCUAAGGCGUGAAAGCGUGGGGAGCAAACAGGAUUAGAUACCCGGGUAGUC